rnacentral:rRNA from 1 species
AGCUUGUUGGUGAGGUAAUGGCUCACCAAGGCGACGACGGGUAGCCGGCCUGAGAGGGCGACCGGCCACACUGGGACUGAGACACGGCCCAGACUCCUACGGGAGGCAGCAGUGGGGAAUAUUGGGCAAUGGAGGAAACUCUGACCCAGCGACGCCGCGUGCGGGAUGAAGGCCUUCGGGUUGUAAACCGCUUUCAGCAGGGAAGAAGCGAAAGUGACGGUACCUGCAGAAGAAGCACCGGCUAACUAUGUGCCAGCAGCCGCGGUAAUACAUAGGGUGCAAGCGUUGUCCGGAAUUAUUGGGCGUAAAGAGCUCGUAGGUGGUUCGUCACGUCGGAUGUGAAACUCUGGGGCUUAACCCCAGACCUGCAUUCGAUACGGGCGAGCUUGAGUAUGGUAGGGGAGUCUGGAAUUCCUGGUGUAGCGGUGGAAUGCGCAGAUAUCAGGAGGAACACCAAUGGCGAAGGCAGGACUCUGGGCCAUUACUGACACUGAGGAGCGAAAGCGUGGGGAGCGAACAGGAUUAGAUACCCUGGUAGUCCACGCCGUAAACGGUGGGCACUAGUUGUGGGGACCUUCCACGGUCUCUGCGACGCAGCUAACGCAUUAAGUGCCCCGCCUGGGGAGUACGAUCGCAAGAUUAA